GCCUACGGCCAUACCAGCCUGGGUACGCCCGAUCUUGUCUGAUCUCGGAAGCUAAGCAGGGUCGGGCCUGGUUAGUACUUGGAUGGGAGACAGCCUGGGAAUACCAGGUGCUGUAAGCA
rnacentral:rRNA from 1 species